AGCUCAGUCGGUAGAGCAGAGGACUGAAAAUCCUCGUGUCGGUGGUUCGAUUCCGCCC
rnacentral:tRNA from 1 species